UACCACACACUGCUACUACUACUACCACAUAGUGGACGUCUAAAAACAGCAACAACAACAAAAAUUGUAGCCAAAGUGCAUGAUAUGGUAUUAAAUGAUCGACGAAUAAAAGUGCGUGAAAAAGCUAAUAUCAUAGGCAUCUCAAAUGAUCGAGUCCAUUUAAUUUUGCAUGAAGAACUACAGAUGAAAAAGCUUUCUGCAAGAUGGGUGCCGCAUUUGUUAACAGUCGAACAAAAACGCAUAAGAAUGAACAUUUCUCAAGCUUGUUUGGAUCGUUUUAAACGAAAUAAAAUGGAUUCUAAGCGUUGUUUCAUAACUGUUAAUGAGACAUGGAUCCACCACUAUACUCCAGAGACAAAAGAACAAUCCAAACAAUGGAUCCAAGCUCUUACUCCAGCUUGCCCCAAAGAAGGCAAAAACAAUUCAAUCGGCUGGGUAAAACAAUAAAUUCAGAGUACUAUUGCAACCUUUUUUUCAUCAAGACAACUCACCAGCGAACAAGAGUGUUUUAACAAUGGCUAAAAUCAACGAAUUAAAGCACGAGUUGCUUGACCACCCGACUCAUUCGCCUGUUCCCUAAUCUAAAAAAAAUCCUUGCUGACAAGCGUUUUACCUCAAAUGAAGAUGCAAUUACAGUUGUAAACCAUUAUUUUGAAGACCUGGAGGAAAACAAUUUUAAUCAAGGGAUAGCAUUGCUAGAUAAGAGUUGCACUAAUUGUAUUGAAGUUUCAGGGGAUUAUAUUGAAAACUAAAUAUAAAAAUAUUUUUGAAAAAUCAA
rnacentral:sRNA from 1 species